AACAGGAUUAGAUACCCUGGUAGUCCACGCCGUAAACGAUGUCGACUUGGAGGUUGCGCCCUUGAGGCGUGGCUUCCGGAGCUAACGCGUUAAGUCGACCGCCUGGGGAGUACGGCCGCAAGGUUAAAACUCAAAUGAAUUGACGGGGGCCCGCACAAGCGGUGGAGCAUGUGGUUUAAUUCGAUGCAACGCGAAGAACCUUACCUACUCUUGACAUCCAGAGAACUUAGCAGAGAUGCUUUGGUGCCUUCGGGAACUCUGAGACAGGUGCUGCAUGGCUGUCGUCAGCUCGUGUUGUGAAGUGUUGGGUUAAGUCCCGCAACGAGCGCAACCCUUAUCCUUUGUUGCCAGCGGUUCGGCCGGGAACUCAAAGGAGACUGCCAGUGAUAAACUGGAGGAAGGUGGGGAUGACGUCAAGUCAUCAUGGCCCUUACGAGUAGGGCUACACACGUGCUACAAUGGCAUAUACAAAGAGAAGCGACCUCGCGAGAGCAAGCGGACCUCAUAAAGUAUGUCGUAGUCCGGAUUGGAGUCUGCAACUCGACUCCAUGAAGUCGGAAUCGCUAGUAAUCGUGGAUCAGAAUGCCACGGUGAAUACGUUCCCGGGCCUUGUACACACCGCCCGUCACACCAUGGGAGUGGGUUGCAAAAGAAGUAGGUAGCUUAACCUUCGGGAGGGCGCUUACCACUUUGUGAUUCAUGACUGGGGUGAAGUCGUAACAAGGUAACC
rnacentral:rRNA from 1 species